rnacentral:rRNA from 1 species
AGAGCGAACGCUGGCGGCAGGCCUAACACAUGCAAGUCGAACGGACCCUUCGGGGUUAGUGGCGGACGGGUGAGUAACACGUGGGAACGUGCCUUUAGGUUCGGAAUAGCUCCUGGAAACGGGUGGUAAUGCCGAAUGUGCCCUUCGGGGGAAAGAUUUAUCGCCUUUAGAGCGGCCCGCGUCUGAUUAGCUUGUUGGUGAGGUAAUGGCUCACCAAGGCUACGAUCAGUAGCUGGUCUGAGAGGAUGACCAGCCACAUUGGGACUGAGACACGGCCCAAACUCCUACGGGAGGCAGCAGUGGGGAAUCUUGCGCAAUGGGCGAAAGCCUGACGCAGCCAUGCCGCGUGUAUGAUGAAGGUCUUAGGAUUGUAAAAUACUUUCACCGGUGAAGAUAAUGACUGUAGCCGGAGAAGAAGCCCCGGCUAACUUCGUGCCAGCAGCCGC